GAUGAACGCUAGCUACAGGCUUAACACAUGCAAGUCGAGGGGAAACGAUGAGAGAGCUUGCUCUCUUAGGCGUCGACCGGCGCACGGGUGAGUAACGCGUAUCCAACCUACCCAUUACAGGGGGAUAACCUUGCGAAAGUAAGACUAAUACCCCAUGGCAUUUUAUGGUGGCAUCAUUAUAGGAUUAAAGAUUUAUUGGUAAUGGAUGGGGAUGCGUCUGAUUAGCUUGUUGGCGGGGUAACGGCCCACCAAGGCAACGAUCAGUAGGGGUUCUGAGAGGAAGGUCCCCCACAUUGGAACUGAGACACGGUCCAAACUCCUACGGGAGGCAGCAGUGAGGAAUAUUGGUCAAUGGGCGAGAGCUUGAACCAGCCAAGUAGCGUGCAGGAUGACGGCCCUAUGGGUUGUAAACUGCUUUUAUAGGGGAAUAAAGUGAGCUACGUGUAGUUUAUUGCAUGUACCCUAUGAAUAAGGACCGGCUAAUUCCGUG
rnacentral:rRNA from 1 species